UUUUUUAUUAUUUGUUGUAUAUUUUGAAAAAUAAAUCGAAACAACGAAGCCAAAAAGAAAAAAAAAAUGUUUCAACCUUAAAUCUCUCUUUGUAUUAUCAAGAUCUCUGCUUGUUGAUAUUGAAUCUCCCCCCCCCCACAUGAUUUAAAUCGGCCUUUAAAUAGCCGAAAAAAGACAAUAAAAUAAGCAAAAAAAUCUUCUCUUCAAUAUUCGUUGCGUUUUUUACUGUUACUCUGUUAUUGCUGCGUUGUACGUCCCCUUUUUUCGCAGGU
rnacentral:lncRNA from 1 species